rnacentral:rRNA from 1 species
UACGGGGGGGGCAAGCGUUGUUCGGAAUUACUGGGCGUAAAGGGCGCGUAGGCGGUUUGUACAGUCAGAUGUGAAAUUCCUGGGCUUAACCUGGGGGCUGCAUUUGAUACGUGCAGACUUGAGUGAGGAAGAGGGUUGUGGAAUUCCCAGUGUAGAGGUGAAAUUCGUAGAUAUUGGGAAGAACACCGGUGGCGAAGGCGGCAACCUGGUCCUUGACUGACGCUGAGGCGCGAAAGCGUGGGGAGCAAACAGG